CCAGCAGUGACUCAAGACUUGAAGUGGACUUGAAGAAGACUGUAAAAGGCUGGAGCUCUCUUGCUUUCUUCACCAACUCCAUCCCCCUCCUUACGUAGGGCUUCCCUACCCCAGCUAGAAGUCACCUGGGCUUUCAGAGAAGAGCAGAAUAUUCCACGUGAAGAGAGCAGCAUUAGUCAAAGUAGCUUUGCAACUGACAACAGAGGAAGAAGGGAACCAGGGCCCGGGGACUAUUCCUAAGGAUUAAAAAACUGCUUCCUGUUUCUACACCCAUUCUUUACCUCAUCAGCCCUCAUGACCAUCAUCUGGGGAAGCAAUUCUUGUGGAGAAGAGGUUUACUAUCCCCACCAACCACCAACCAGCUGCUGCUUUCAUGGUAGGCAAAGUCAGCCUAGCUGAAGCAGCCGGGCGUCCUGGGAGAGAUAAAGGAGGCAAGCAAGUUCAGCCACCACCAUCACUUUGACUGCCAUCUUCUCUUGGACACUGAUGGAGAUAGCCCAGCAUCAAGAACACAAGAGACUUGGGAAUAGCAGCAUCCCCCAUUACCAUCUGCUUUGUGGUUGUACCCUAUGGACCACCCGGCCUUUCCAUCUGACUUGCAGCUGAAACCUUCCAUAUGUGUGGUCUUCCCUGUUAGAAUGUG